rnacentral:rRNA from 1 species
AAAUUGAAGAGUUUGAUCAUGGCUCAGAUUGAACGCUGGCGGCAGGCCUAACACAUGCAAGUCGAACGGUAACAGAAAGCAGCUUGCUGCUUUGCUGACGAGUGGCGGACGGGUGAGUAAUGUCUGGGAAACUGCCUGAUGGAGGGGGAUAACUACUGGAAACGGUAGCUAAUACCGCAUAAUGUCGCAAGACCAAAGAGGGGGACCUUCGGGCCUCUUGCCAUCGGAUGUGCCCAGAUGGGAUUAGCUAGUAGGUGGGGUAACGGCUCACCUAGGCGACGAUCCCUAGCUGGUCUGAGAGGAUGACCAGCCACACUGGAACUGAGACACGGUCCAGACUCCUACGGGAGGCAGCAGUGGGGAAUAUUGCACAAUGGGCGCAAGCCUGAUGCAGCCAUGCCGCGUGUAUGAAGAAGGCCUUCGGGUUGUAAAGUACUUUCAGCGGGGAGGAAGGGAGUAAAGUUAAU